GAGCAGCACAUAAUCCCCCAGCAUCCUCAUGAGAUCCUGCUGUCGUGUAUGGGACGCCACUAUAUAAAUGUAUUGGUGACCUUCAAGAAAGGAAAUAUGAACAAGUUCUGAACUCCUAUUGGGCUGUCAAAUGAAAUAUGAACAAAUUGCAGAAUCUUAAUGAACUGUCAAGGAGAUAUGAACAAGUUCCAUACACCUAAUAAGUUCUCUAAGGAAACAUGAAUAGGUUCUUAACUCCUAAUGAGCUGUCUAAGUAAACAUGAACAUGUUGCAGACUCCUUUAGUUGUCAAGGAAUUAUGAAUGAAUUUCAAACUCCUUAUAAGUUGUCUAAUAAAAUAUAAACAAGUUGCAAACUC